UACGAAGGGGGCUAGCGUUGCUCGGAAUUACUGGGCGUAAAGGGCGCGUAGGCGGAUGUUUAAGUCGGGGGUGAAAGCCCGGGGCUCAACCUCGGAAUUGCCUUCGAUACUGGACAUCUUGAGUACGGGAGAGGUGAGUGGAACUCCGAGUGUAGAGGUGAAAUUCGUAGAUAUUCGGAAGAACACCAGUGGCGAAGGCGACUCACUGGCCCGUUACUGACGCUGAGGCGCGAAAGCUAGGGGAGCAAACAGG
rnacentral:rRNA from 1 species